rnacentral:rRNA from 1 species
GUGAGGAAUAUUGGGCAAUGGAGGCAACUCUGACCCAGCCAUGCCGCGUGCAGGAAGACGGUCCUAUGGAUUGUAAACUGCUUUUAUACGGGAAGAAACACCCCCUCGUGAGGGGACUUGACGGUACCGUAAGAAUAAGGAUCGGCUAACUCCGUGCCAGCAGCCGCGGUAAUACGGAGGAUCCAAGCGUUAUCCGGAAUCAUUGGGUUUAAAGGGUCCGUAGGCGGCCUUAUAAGUCAGUGGUGAAAUCUCCUAGCUCAACUAGGAAACUGCCAUUGAUACUGUAGGGCUUGAAUUAUUGUGAAGUAACUAGAAUAUGUAGUGUAGCGGUGAAAUGCUUAGAUAUUACAUGGAAUACCAAUUGCGAAGGCAGGUUACUAACAAUAUAUUGACGCUGGUGGACGAAAGCGUGGGUAGCGAACAGGAUUAGAUACCCUAGUAGUCC